CGCUAUCACUCCUACGGGAGGCAGCAGUCGGGAAUAUUGGACAAUGGGCGAAAGCCUGAUCCAGCAAUACCGCGUGUGUGAAGAAGGCCUGCGGGUUGUAAAGCACUUUCAGUUGGGAAGAUAAUGACGUUACCAACAGAAGAAGCACCGGCUAACUCCGUGCCAGCAGCCGCGGUAAUACGGAGGGUGCAAGCGUUAAUCGGAAUUACUGGGCGUAAAGCGCACGUAGGCGGUUUACUAAGUCGGAUGUGAAAUCCCCGGGCUCAACCUGGGAACUGCACCCGAUACUGGUAGACUAGAAUUUGGGAGAGGUGAGUGGAAUUUCCGGUGUAGCGGUGAAAUGCAUAGAGAUCGGAAGGAACACCAGUGGCGAAGGCGACUCACUGGACCAAAUUGACGCUGAGGUGCGAAAGCGUGGGUAGCAAACAGGAUUAGAUACCCUGGUAG
rnacentral:rRNA from 1 species